AUUGAACGCUGGCGGCAGGCCUAACACAUGCAAGUCGAACGAGCGGCGGACGGGUGAGUAAUGUCUGGGAAACUGCCUGAUGGAGGGGGAUAACUACUGGAAACGGUAGCUAAUACCGCAUACCAUCGGAUGUGCCCAGAUGGGAUUAGCUAGUAGGUGGGGUACAGGCUCACCUAGACGACGAUCCCUAGCUGGCCUGAGAGGAUGACCAGCCACCCGGGAAGUGAGACACGGUCCAGACUCCUAAGGGAGGCAGGAGUGGGGAAUAUUGCACAAGGGGCGAAAGACUGAGGCAGCCAUGCCGAGUGGGUGAAGAAGGCCUUCGGGUUGUAAAGCACUGUCAGCGGGGAGGCGUUACCCGCAGAAGAAGCACCGGCUAACUCCGUGCCAGCAGCCGCGGUAAUUC
rnacentral:rRNA from 1 species